CCUACGGGGUGCAGCAGUGAGGAAUAUUGGUCAAUGGACGCAAGUCUGAACCAGCCAAGUAGCGUGCAGGAUGACGGCCCUCCGGGUUGUAAACUGCGCUUAGUUGGGAAUAAAAGGGGGCUCGUGAGCCACGUAUUGUAUGUAACAGCAGAAAAAGGACCAGCUAAUUCAGUGCCAGCAGCCGCGGUAAUACGGAAGGUCCGGGCGUUAUCCGGAUUUAUUGGGUUUAAAGGGCGCGUAGGCCUGCGUUUAAGUCAGCUGUGAAAGUCCGCGGCUCAACCGUGGACUUGCAGUUGAAACUGGAGGCCGUGUGUGCACACAGGGAUGCCGGAAUUCAUGGUGUAGCGGUGAAAUGCU
rnacentral:rRNA from 1 species